AGUUGCCUCCAAGCCUGUGACUGGUGACACUGAAGAACACAAGCUUAAAUGUCUUCAAAGAGUGGCAGGGAGAGGACAGGGAUAUUAACUGUUGCAGUAAAUUCAAGGUGAAAGGAAUGAGACUACAGAUGCCAAAUGGUGUUUUCAUCAGAUGUCUCUAUCUGAUGUGAAGCUACAGUGCUGGAGAAUCAAACAUACCAUACAGGAUGCUGUAAGAAAGCUGCACUACAUUGGUAGAGCACUGGAGCUGGACAAGCUCAAAAAGCAGCCCCACGAGAACCUAUUGAGAUUCAACAAGGCCAAGUGCAAGAUGUUCAACUUGGGUGACAGCAGUCCCAGAUAUGAGUACAGACUGGGACAAGAGCUCAUUGGGAACAGUCCUGCACAGAAAGACUGGGAGGUCCUGAUGGACAAAAAGCUGGACACAAGUCAGCAGUGUGCUCUUGCCACCCAGAAGGCCAACAGUAUCUUGGGCUGCAUCAAAAGAGGGGUGGCCAGCCGGGCAAGGGAGGUGAUCGUCUCCCAUCUACUUUGCCCUUCUAGAGCUCCAUCUGGAGUACUGUGUCCAGAUCUGGAAGUACAGGAAGGAUAUGGAGCUGUUGGAGCUGGUCCAGAGGAGGGCCAGGAAGAUGAUCAGGGGUCAGAAGCAUCUCUCCUGUGAAAAAGGUUGAGGGAGUUGGGCUUGUUUAGCUUGGAGAAGAGAAGGCUCUGAGGAGAACUCAUUGAAGCAUCCCAGUACUUGAAGGGAGCUUGUAAGCAGGAUGGGGACUGACUUUUUACAUGGUUUGAUAGUGAUAGGACGAGAGAGAAUGGCUUUAAACUAAAAUAGCUGAAAUUUAGGUUGGAUGUUGGGAAGAAAUUCUUUACCCAGAGGAUGGUGAGG
ensembl:lncRNA